rnacentral:rRNA from 1 species
UUAAGCGACUAAGCGUACACGGUGGAUGCCCUGGCAGUCAGAGGCGAUGAAGGACGUGCUAAUCUGCGAAAAGCGUCGGUAAGGUGAUAUGAACCGUUAUAACCGGCGAUGUCCGAAUGGGGAAACCCAGUGUGAUUCGUCACACUAUCGUUAACUGAAUACAUAGGUUAACGAGGCGAACCGGGGGAACUGAAACAUCUAAGUACCCGAGGAAAAGAAAUCAACCGAGAUUCCCCAGUAGCGGCGAGCGAACGGGGAGCAGCCCAGAGUCUGAAUCAGCUUGUGUGUUAGUGGAACGGUCUGGAAAGUCCGACGGUACAGGGUGAUAGUCCCGUACACCAAAAUGCACAGGUUGUGAACUCGAAGAGUAGGGCGGGACACGUGGUAUCCUGUCUGAAUAUGGGGGGACCAUCCUCCAAGGCUAAAUACUCCUGACUGACCGAUAGUGAACCAGUACCGUGAGGGAAAGGCGAAAAGAACCCCGGCGAGGGGAGUGAAAAAGAACCUGAAACCGUGUACGUACAAGCAGUGGGAGCACCUUCGGGUGUGACUGCGUACCUUUUGUAUAAUGGGUCAGCGACUUAUAUUCUGUAGCAAGGUUAACCGUAUAGGGGAGCCGCAGGGAAACCGAGUCUUAACUGGGCGUUAAGUUGCAGGGUAUAGACCCGAAACCCGGUGAUCUAGCCAUGGGCAGGUUGAAGGUUGGGUAACACUAACUGGAGGACCGAACCGACUAAUGUUGAAAAAUUAGCGGAUGACUUGUGGCUGGGGGUGAAAGGCCAAUCAAACCGGGAGAUAGCUGGUUCUCCCCGAAAGCUAUUUAGGUAGCGCCUCGUGAACUCAUCUUCGGGGUAGAGCACUGUUUCGGCUAGGGGGUCAUCCCGACUUACCAACCCGAUGCAAACUACGAAUACCGAAGAAUGUUAUCACGGGAGACACACGGCGGGUGCUAACGUCCGUCGUGAAGAGGGAAACAACCCAGACCGCCAGCUAAGGUCCCAAAGUCAUGGUUAAGUGGGAAACGAUGUGGGAAGGCACAGACAGCCAGGAUGUUGGCUUAGAAGCAGCCAUCAUUUAAAGAAAGCGUAAUAGCUCACUGGUCGAGUCGGCCUGCGCGGAAGAUGUAACGGGGCUAAACCAUGCACCGAAGCUGCGGCAGCGACACUAUGUGUUGUUGGGUAGGGGAGCGUUCUGUAAGCCUGCGAAGGUGACCUGUGAGGGUUGCUGGAGGUAUCAGAAGUGCGAAUGCUGACAUAAGUAACGAUAAAGCGGGUGAAAAGCCCGCUCGCCGGAAGACCAAGGGUUCCUGUCCAACGUUAAUCGGGGCAGGGUGAGUCGACCCCUAAGGCGAGGCCGAAAGGCGUAGUCGAUGGGAAACAGGUUAAUAUUCCUGUACUUGGUGUUACUGCGAAGGGGGGACGGAGAAGGCUAUGUUAGCCGGGCGACGGUUGUCCCGGUUUAAGCAUGUAGGCUGAUUGUCCAGGCAAAUCCGGAUAAUCAAGGCUGAGGUGUGAUGACGAGGCACUACGGUGCUGAAGUAACAAAUGCCCUGCUUCCAGGAAAAGCCUCUAAGCAUCAGGUAACAUCAAAUCGUACCCCAAACCGACACAGGUGGUCAGGUAGAGAAUACCAAGGCGCUUGAGAGAACUCGGGUGAAGGAACUAGGCAAAAUGGUGCCGUAACUUCGGGAGAAGGCACGCUGGUGUGUAGGUGAAGUCCCUGCGGAUGGAGCUGAGACCAGUCGAAGAUACCAGCUGGCUGCAACUGUUUAUUAAAAACACAGCACUGUGCAAACACGAAAGUGGACGUAUACGGUGUGACGCCUGCCCGGUGCCGGAAGGUUAAUUGAUGGGGUUAUCCGUAAGGAGAAGCUCUUGAUCGAAGCCCCGGUAAACGGCGGCCGUAACUAUAACGGUCCUAAGGUAGCGAAAUUCCUUGUCGGGUAAGUUCCGACCUGCACGAAUGGCGUAAUGAUGGCCAGGCUGUCUCCACCCGAGACUCAGUGAAAUUGAACUCGCUGUGAAGAUGCAGUGUACCCGCGGCAAGACGGAAAGACCCCGUGAACCUUUACUAUAGCUUGACACUGAACAUUGAGCCUUGAUGUGUAGGAUAGGUGGGAGGCUUUGAAGCGUGGACGCCAGUCUGCGUGGAGCCAACCUUGAAAUACCACCCUUUAAUGUUUGAUGUUCUAACGUUGGCCCCUUACCGGGGUUGCGGACAGUGUCUGGUGGGUAGUUUGACUGGGGCGGUCUCCUCCCAAAGCGUAACGGAGGAGCACGAAGGUUAGCUAAUCCUGGUCGGACAUCAGGAGGUUAGUGCAAUGGCAUAAGCUAGCUUGACUGCGAGCGUGACGGCGCGAGCAGGUGCGAAAGCAGGUCAUAGUGAUCCGGUGGUUCUGAAUGGAAGGGCCAUCGCUCAACGGAUAAAAGGUACUCCGGGGAUAACAGGCUGAUACCGCCCAAGAGUUCAUAUCGACGGCGGUGUUUGGCACCUCGAUGUCGGCUCAUCACAUCCUGGGGCUGAAGUAGGUCCCAAGGGUAUGGCUGUUCGCCAUUUAAAGUGGUACGCGAGCUGGGUUUAGAACGUCGUGAGACAGUUCGGUCCCUAUCUGCCGUGGGCGCUGGAGAAUUGAGGGGGGCUGCUCCUAGUACGAGAGGACCGGAGUGGACGCAUCACUGGUGUUCGGGUUGUCAUGCCAAUGGCACUGCCCGGUAGCUAAAUGCGGAAGAGAUAAGUGCUGAAAGCAUCUAAGCACGAAACUUGCCCCGAGAUGAGUUCUCCCUGAGACUUUAAGUCUCCUGAAGGAACGUUGAAGACGACGACGUUGAUAGGCCGGGUGUGUAAGCGCAGCGAUGCGUUGAGCUAACCGGUACUAAUGAACCGUGAGGCUUAACCU